AUUAUAUUACUUAAAAGCUCAUAGAUUAUUCCAAAAACAGUCAAAAUUAGACAAAUAAAUUGGUUCGGUUUUUGUUUUUUAAUAGAAAUAACGGAAUCAAAUUGAAAAUGAAACUUUUAAAAAAAUAUCUAAUCAAACCAACGAAAAACCUGAAUUAAAAUGAUUUGAUUCGAUUUUUCAGUUAUAACUGAUUUUUCUCACCCCUCAGCGGUCAGCAAGGGCUAUAAGCUGCUCAACCACACUUGGAUCUGCUAGGGUGCUCGUGUCACCAAGCUCAUCUAGUUGCCUGGAAGCAAUCUUUCUCAGAAUCCUUCUCAUUAUCUUUCCACUCCUUGUCUUUGGAAGACCAGGAGCCCAGUGGAUUUUGUCUGGUGCUGCAAAUGCUCCUAUCUGAUUUCGCACUGUGAGAAUGAGACUUUUCCUGACUUCUUCACUGUAAGGAACACCCUCCACAAGAGUGACAAACGCAUAAAUGCCCUGUCCUUUAACCUCAUGCUCAACACCAACUACAGCAGCUUCCGCACAUUGGGGAUGAGAAACAAGAGCAGAUUCCACUUCUGCUGUACCAAUACGAUGCCCACUAACAUUGAUGACAUCAUCAACUCUUCCAGUAAGCCAGUAGUAUCCAUCCUUGUCCCUGCUACAGCCAUCACCACUGAAAUAAUAGCCAGGGAAUGGCUUGAAGUAUGUGGUUUCAUAUCUUUCAUGAUCACCAUAAAGAGUUCGGAAUGCCCCAGGCCAUGAGCUUUUCACACAAAGAUACCCACUGCACUCUCCUUCAAUCUCAGCACCCUUCUCAUCCACUAUGACAGGCUGCAGUUGCACCAGAAGAGGAAUGAUGAAGCAUGAACAAUGAACAUAAAGAGAAGAAAAAGAGGCAAAAACAUGAAAGUAUAAAAUCUUUAUUUAAUUAAAAACCUGAACACCAAAGAAAGGGAAAGUUGCAGAACCAGGCUUCUGUGGCCAGGCACCCGGCAGCGGAGUAAUCUGACACAUUGCAGCAGAAAAUUAUAAUUAAGAUAUUUGCUAUGGAGAAAGUGAACAAAACAUAUACAUAUAGGAAAUGUAAAGACAAAUAUAAGUCCCAUGAAGCUACCUGUUUCAAGUGGCCAAUGACAAAAUAAAACUACGGUAGAAAAGUGAUUUUAGUGAAUGAACAGCAAAUAUUAAGAAAUUAAAUCAUAAUACCAUAAAGCCACCAGUUUCAGUUUGCCACCAAGUGUCAGAUAUAGGGCACCUGGAAUCUCCAACUACAUUGAAAAACCACCUCCAAGCGCUUGGAUUAAUGGGCUCGCCUACACUUCCAAGGACUCGUAAGGAUUUACGUGAAUAGCGAAUAACAUACUCAUCACCAGCACGCAUGAGAGACCGCACCAAUGUGGGGGCAGUAUAAAAUAUUGUCACUUUAAAUUUGUCAACAAUAUCCCAACAGCGUCCAGAAUCAGGAUAAUUGGGAGCCUGCAGGCAAUUUGCUAUUAAAUGGAGACACUUACAGAUCCAUUUAAAACAAUACAAGAACAACUAAAGGGGACCCGCAUCAAAUUAAACCCUAUGAUGGAUAGCCUCUCGUUGAAAUGAUGUUGCUGGCAGAAAUCACUGCUACUACUGUUGUCAAGAUACAUGUCAUUACAUAAUUACAUAUCUUAACAAGCUUCUGCAAGUGUCAUAUUAAGAUUAAAAACUAAAAAAUUCCUCAACAAUAUUCUUCUGUUUAUAUACCUCCUCGCUUUCUACUCCUUACCAUUCUGCUUUUUCUUGGUUUCUAAUUCUUUUUGCUUUGUAGAAUAAAGUAAUCUAAACUGUCAAAGAACUUUCACAGGUUAUUUUAGCUGACAAAUAACAACUAAACUUUAAGGUGCAUGCCAAGUUUGCUUUUGUGAAAAUAUGCUUUAACCUUUCUACCUGGCUUGUACCAUUUAUCAUUCUAAUUUUUCUACCUCGAAGAAUUUUGAAAUGCCAGAACUAAGUUAUUGAAUUACACACACACACACACAGAAAAAACACUAGUUUUUUGGGACAUUACAUCAAUUUUAAAACCUAAAAUUGAAUGGACAAACAAGUUUAUAAGUGCUAAAAAAAAAGUUACCCCUUCAAAAAUGACAACAGUUGCUCCAUUGAGCAUGGGUCCAUAAGUCACAUAGCUAUGCCCAGUGAUCCAACCACAGUCAGCAGUGCACCAGUAGAUAUCAGAUGGCUUGUAAUCAAAUGCAUACUUGAAUGUUGUGGCAGUGUAAACCAUAUAUCCUCCGGUUGUAUGGAGAACACCCUUUGGCUUCCCUGUGCUCCCACUUGUAUACAGCAGAAAAAGUGGAUCUUCAGCAUCCACCCACUCUACUGCACAAGUAGUUGGAUACUUAGGGACAACAUCCUGAAAGAUGUUAAUCAUUCAUAAAAAAUCAAAAUAUAAAAAUAUUAGCUAUGCGAUAAUUAUCAACAGUAUAAGCUGCCUUUCUAGCAAUAUUAUCCAUUAAGAUUCAUAGCCAUGUACCUUAUAGUAAAUGAUUGACAUGUCAUUUGAAAAUUUCUCUGUUUUGUGGAAAUAAUAUGAAGAUACUAAAGAAAGGUACUUGAAGACAAGAAGAUAAUUGUAUUUGCCAAUUACCCAAUAAGAAAAAACUUUUCUUUCCUUAUGCUAUAUGUCAAAUGAGCUGUUAUGUUACAUCCUUACCUGCCACCAUACAUCUCUUCCCUCCUGCCAUUUAGUGCUUUCCCUCUUCAUAGCAGAUUCAUUUUCAUAAGUUAAACAUACAUCAACUGAGACGCCAUUUUUAGCAGAUUCAAUAAGGCUGGCAUCAACUAUGUCUUUGAGGGGAAUAACUUUAGAACCUCUUUUGACAGCAUUACAUGUAAUUACAACUUUUGGUUUACAGUCCACAAUUCUUUGGGCAAGAGAAUCGGCAGAAAAUCCUGCAAACACAACCGAGUGCACAGCACCAAUGCGAGCACAAGCAAGCAUUGCAAUAGGGAGUUCCAUGAGCAUGGGUAAAUAAAUCACAAUAGCAUCACCCUUCCUAACACCUUUAUCUUUUAAAUAAUUGGCCAGCUGGCAAACUCUUUGAAGAAGCUGAGAGUAAGUUAAAGAGUCUUGGGAACCAGGCUCAUUGGGUUCCCAGUAAAUGGCAAUCUUAUCAGCAUUUCCGGAUUCAACAUUUCUAUCCAAACAAUUGUAACAAAUGUUGGUGAUACCGCCCUUGAACCACUCAAUCUUAAUGUUUCCCACGCGGACAUCGAAAUUCUCCGAGAAAACAGAUUGGCCCCAUUUCUGUUUCCAGCAGAACUGUGAAGCAAUAUCGGACCAAAAUCCGGCAGGAUCUUCAACGGACCUUUUAUACAUCUCCAAGUACUUCUUGGGAGAGGGAACGAGAGCCUGACGAGAGAAGUCAUCGUUGGGGAAGACAAGCUCAUCAUCUUCAGAAGCCAAAGCUUCGCCUAAAACAACAGCAUUAAGACCAGUAACUUUCCCGGCAAGGGACCGCAGAGUAGACAUUGACUCGACAUGCCUAAAGUGACAUGUGGUGGUCUUGAGAUUCUGAAAAGUCAUCCCGAUCCCAAAAGUAAGCCUGCGGCGACAGUGCGGACGGCAACAAAGACGAGAGUAGGAGGCGGACGCGGAAGCCCUCGCGACGGUGAGAGCACGUUUGACGAAUGAAGCGUCAAAUAUCACGGCGGCAGCAUCAUGAGCUGCUCCGACUCCUUUUCCAACGUAAACGCUGCUUGAUGAGACGGGUUGCCAUGGGGACGCCAUUUUUUUUUAAUCCUGGGGAGAGUGAACUCGCUGCCUUCAUAACCACUCCUCUUCAAAGGUUUGAAAUUCAAGGGAUGCAAGAUGUGGAAGUUAGCAAGACAAAAAUGCAAUUCAAUAUAAAAUUAAGAUGAAACCACUUGAUAAAUAAUCAUUAAUCACUAACUAAUUUUAUUGACCCAGUAGAUUUGGAUUAGAAUUCAGUAAAUCCAAUCGAUUAGAGAAAAUGAGGUUUGAGAGAGAGAGAGAGAGAGA
rnacentral:misc_RNA from 1 species